rnacentral:rRNA from 1 species
GAUGAACGUUGGCGGCGUGCCUAAUACAUGCAAGUCGAGCGAACAGACGAGGAGCUUGCUCCUCUGACGUUAGCGGCGGACGGGUGAGUAACACGUGGAUAACCUACCUAUAAGACUGGGAUAACUUCGGGAAACCGGAGCUAAUACCGGAUAAUAUAUUGAACCGCAUGGUUCAAUAGUGAAAGACGGUUUUGCUGUCACUUAUAGAUGGAUCCGCGCCGCAUUAGCUAGUUGGUAAGGUAACGGCUUACCAAGGCAACGAUGCGUAUCCGACCUGAGAGGGUGAUCGGCCACACUGGAACUGAGACACGGUCCAGACUCCUACGGGAGGCAGCAGUAGGGAAUCUUCCGCAAUGGGCGAAAGCCUGACGGAGCAACGCCGCGUGAGUGAUGAAGGUCUUCGGAUCGUAAAACUCUGUUAUUAGGGAAGAACAAAUGUGUAAGUAACUAUGCACGUCUUGACGGUACCUAAUCAGAAAGCCACGGCUAACUACGUG